rnacentral:lncRNA from 1 species
GCUGGAGAGACCUGAUUUGGCUUUCACAGAAACAGGACUCUGAUACGUUAGCAUUGAGACACUGCCCAGCAUACCCCAGCCACCUCUUAAAAAUGAAGUGUUUGCGAUGAUCAGGCCCACUAUCAUCCACCAACACAAACUCAGGUGGUGACCAUCUUCUUUUGUUACAGAUCUCCAUCAAUGCAGAAACUGGAUGUUUGCCUGAAAGAUCCUUCAUCACAACGUAAUGUCCAGAUCUCUUUUGUGC